CUACGGGAUGCAGCAGUGGGGAAUUUUGGACAAUGGGCGCAAGCCUGAUCCAGCAAUGCCGCGUGCAGGAUGAAGGCCUUCGGGUUGUAAACUGCUUUUGUACGGAACGAAACGGCGAGCUCUAAUAAAGCUUGCUAAUGACGGUACCGUAAGAAUAAGCACCGGCUAACUACGUGCCAGCAGCCGCGGUAAUACGUAGGGUGCGAGCGUUAAUCGGAAUUACUGGGCGUAAAGCGUGCGCAGGCGGUUAUAUAAGACAGAUGUGAAAUCCCCGGGCUCAACCUGGGACCUGCAUUUGUGACUGUAUAGCUAGAGUACGGUAGAGGGGGAUGGAAUUCCGCGUGUAGCAGUGAAAUGCGUAGAUAUGCGGAGGAACACCGAUGGCGAAGGCAAUCCCCUGGACCUGUACUGACGCUCAUGCACGAAAGCGUGGGGAGCAAACAGGAUUAGAUACCCGUGUAGUC
rnacentral:rRNA from 1 species